CCUACGGGGGGCUGCAGUGGGGAAUAUUGGACAAUGGGCGAAAGCCUGAUCCAGCCAUGCCGCGUGUGUGAAGAAGGCCUUCGGGUUGUAAAGCACUUUCAGUGGGGAAGAAAGCCUUGGGGCUAAUACCCUCGAGGAAGGACAUCACCCACAGAAGAAGCACCAGCUAACUCCGUGCCAGCAGCCGCGGUAAUACGGAGGGUGCGAGCGUUAAUCGGAAUUACUGGGCGUAAAGCGCGCGUAGGCGGUCUGAUAAGCCGGUUGUGAAAGCCCCGGGCUCAACCUGGGAACGGCAUCCGGAACUGUCAGGCUAGAGUGCAGGAGAGGAAGGUAGAAUUCCCGGUGUAGCGGUGAAAUGCGUAGAGAUCGGGAGGAAUACCAGUGGCGAAGGCGGCCUUCUGGACUGACACUGACGCUGAGGUGCGAAAGCGUGGGUAGCAAACAGGAUUAGAUACCCUAGUAGUC
rnacentral:rRNA from 1 species